AAUGCGCAGAUAUCAGGAGGAACACCGGUGGCGAAGGCGGGUCUCUGGGCCGAAACUGACGCUGAGGAGCGAAAGCAUGGGGAGCAAACAGGAUUAGAUACCCUGGUAGUCCACGCUGUAAACGUUGGGCGCUAGGUGUGGGGACCAUUCCACGGUUUCUGUGCCGUAGCUAACGCAUUAAGCGCCCCGCCUGGGGAGUACGGCCGCAAGGCUAAAACUCAAAUGAAUUGACGGGGGCCCGCACAAGCGGUGGAGCAUGUGGUUUAAUUCGAUGCAACGCGAAGAACCUUACCAAGGCUUGACAUACACUGGACCGUUCUGGAAACAGUUCUUCUCUUUGGAGCUGGUGUACAGGUGGUGCAUGGCUGUCGUCAGCUCGUGCCGUGAGGUGUUGGGUUAAAGUCCCGCAACGAGCGCAACCCUCGUUCCAUGUUGCCAGCGGGUUAUGCCGGGGACUCAUGGGAGACUGCCGGGGUCAACUCGGAGGAAGGUGGGGAUGACGUCAAGUCAUCAUGCCCCUUAUGUCCAGGGCUUCACACAUGCUACAAUGGCCUACACAAAGGGUUGCGAGACCGUGAGGUGGAGCGAAUCCCGUAAAGUGGGUCUCAGUUCGGAUCGGGGUCUGCAACUCGACCCCGUGAAGUCGGAGUCGCUAGUAAUCGCAGAUCAGCCAUGCCGCGGUGAAUACGUUCCCGGGCCUUGUACACACCGCCCG
rnacentral:rRNA from 1 species